UCUUACCUAGCCCGCUGUACAUUCAUUGUUAACUAUCUUUCAACUACGAACAUAUAAAAUUGAAAGAUCCUACAUUUAUAUGCUGAACGUGUACUUUAAACGCGGUUGUUUUCACUCCGACAUCAUUGCCAAGACAAACAAAGUGUGUUUAACAUUCACUUGUAAAUCUCUUUCACUAUCUUUUCGAUCUCUAACCUUCGAGACAGUGAAAUCUCUACCUGAAUGAUACAACUUCACCGUAAACACUUUUGGCAAUUGUCUGGACGGAUCAUCGACCGGUGAACAAACAACGUAGAUUAAAAUCCUUCCCAAAUAGCACACCGUGAAAGUUACGAGUAUAUUUACGCGAACAAUGUGAACAUAUUUCUCGAGUUUCGAAACAACUGUUUAGAAACUUCUCUUGAAAAAUAAUAUGAUGUAUAUUAGAUUUUGAUUAAUUCAUAUUUGGAUAAUUUCUUCGUUUUCCUAGCGAUCCAUCAAACAUAUUAAUGUUUAAUGUCUCCCAGAGCCUCGCGUGGGACGUCGCUGCAAGGUAAACCACCUUUCCUCUUACCAACGGGGAUGAGCGUUUUAUAACUUACUUUUAACUGGAAUCCAGGAUGCAAGCGGAUCCGUGGACGGAUAAUCUAGCAACGAAGCGGAUUUCCAACCGCCUCGUCCCUGGAUUACAUGACGUUUGAUGGCGAAAGUUAGUCACGGAUGGCCCCAGGGUGCUGUGCACCUCGCAGAGCUCUUGUCUCCCGACCUCAUCCGCGGGAUGAACCGACAGCGUGAAUCUAGAAUAUUAAACGAACAACGAUGGUGUGGUCGAUCUGCGGUCGCUGCUAUCCCGACGACAUGGAGAAUCUGGGACGUGUUCUGAUUAUCUGUCCGCUGAUAUUUCAAAUUUUCGAUAAUUCAUCUAAAGGUUAAAAAUAAUAUUUAUUUCCCGAAGAAAUAUUAUUCUUAAAAGGGAGAUUUUCAGUGAAAGUGUCCUUGAUUCUUCAUAAUGUUUGUAUCAUAUAAUUAAUUGUAAUUAUCUGAGGGUGUGAUAAGCUUCUGACUCGACGUGGCUUCUCGUUAUCAACAAGGUUAUAUUUCGUGGCCCCGGUGAAAGCGAUGAUAAAUUUCAGUGAACACGAUAACCAGAUCGUUCUUCGACUUUUUUUGGAUCUUACUUCGUUAUCUAAAAUCAACUAACACGUUGAGUGCUAUCAUCUAAUGAUUAAAAAAUGAACAUUAAUUGCCUAGAAUUGUCAUUCUCGUUAUGCUGAUCAACGUGUUAAGGAUCGAACGAAUUUACGUUGUUUCCGUUCGAGACUUUCACGGUAAGAAAAGUUACGCAAUUGAUCAUCCAAUCUUCGAUUUAUGUAGGAAUUAGAAAAUUAUGCGUUUCACGAUGGGUGGUAUCUAAGAUUCAUCGACGGAUAACGAGAAGAAGUGUCGUAACUCGUGUGGGUGUCCAGUUACACCUUUAUAAGCAACAGGUAAAUAUAAGGAAAGGACGAUGGUUAUUCGAAGAAGAGUUGAAAGUUGAAAGCGACACCCAAGUCAUCUUGAGUGCAACGUUCGUUCGAGUGAUUUUGAAAGAACAUCUUGGGUACUAAUGGCCCUCAACGUUACCGGACAAGGAACUUGAUUCACUUUCUUGCGAAAUAUAAUUCAACAAGCCAACAGCUCAUUAGUUAAAAAAAAAUUUCCUGUAUUUCAUCAGAGUCUGACAAAAAAUUUCAUGCUCUGAAUCAAGGUUUCAAUCACCAUACAUAAGGUAAACGAGUUGAAACCCAUAGAAUGAAAAGAAAAAAACAAUAUCCUUCGAAGUGGCUCGAAGGGAAAGUCGACGACCCGAAGAACCCAUCGUCCAUAAAAUCAGAACGAGCGAUCCAGACCGAGUCGAUCGUCGAUGAAAAACCUUCUGACCCAUUUUCGACCCUGUUUCUGUCGAUUCUGACCGCUCUCGAAUUCGUGUUGCAUUGUCCUCGAGUUAUGCACCACGCCUCUUUCAAACACCCACGUACAUUCUUCUGUCUCUUGUCGCUAUGAAACCUAUCUAUCAACGAACGCGAGUCGUUCUUGAAUUUUGACGAUGUUUCCGGCGGAGACGAGGUCGUCCUUAGUCGAGGACAGCCUUGAUAUGGACAGACGUAAGGUGCUGUCCUCGAAAUACCUUCACUGUCAGGAUCAUGGAGAGACCAGAAGAAGGACAAUGCAAUUCUGGCAGAAUUUUCUUUACGUAGUAGGAUUUUUUGUUAGUCUCUUUUAACGACGAAGGUUGAAAGAAUGGAGAUUGUCGCAGGAAGUGGUGUAAUUAUGUUUCAUUGGAAAUUUCAAAUAUGCGACAGGAUAAAUGAAAUGCUUGUGAAUGCGAUAAUGUACUGGGUGGAAAUGAAGAAUUAGCAUAGAUUACUGGAUUCUUGGGCUUUUGAAUCCUUGGACUCUUGGAGUCGUGGAUCCUUGAAUUCUUGGGCUCCUGGAACCUUGGAUCCUUGGGCUCCAGGAUUUUUGGAUAUUUGGAUAUUUCGAUUCUUAAACUUUUGAAGUCUUGAAAACUUGGAGCCUUACACUCUUGGAACCAUGAAUCCUAGGAUUUUCGGAUCCUAGAAUCCUCGAAUUCUUCGAUUCCUGGAUUUUAAGGAAAAUGAUUUCGACACAGCAGUAACGAUUCAUAUUAAAAUAAUGCUACCAAAUUGAGUUAUUCAAGUUUCUCUUCGUCGCGUCAAGGUGCUCUAAUUUCUAGAAUCAACCAGCGGAAUAAUGUAACUAAAGUGUGUCAGUGAUGAAACUCUUCAUGCAUUUACAGCUCUAACAUUUCCGAGGCGUUACAAACACAAUUUUCCACAAUUUCAAUUCAAAGAAAGAACCUUUACUUUGAUCUAUCUUUAGCAAUGAAUUUUCCCAACUUCAUUGACAUACUCAGAGAAUUACGAGGAAGUAAUUCUGAGAAUUUUCUUUUUCCCAACCACCCUACUUACUCACAUUUAUCAUUGUGCAGACCGCGUGAUCGUUAGGCAGUUUUUCAACGUGGAUCUGCGCAAUCGUUUUCCGUUUACUGACUCGUAUCGAUCGACUACUGUUUCGUGUGAUUUAUUCCUCGUUAAAACUAGGCGGGCUGAGAAUUUUUACUCGGCCAUCCGUAACGAUCCCGUAAUACCGGUAGCGCUACCACGCGGUUUAUUACUAUGCGUUACGUCUUUCCAGUUACAUUGAAAGCGUCUAAGAAACGCCACAAAUUUCCGGUCUGCUUGUAUUUCACUCGAGCCAGACGCGGUUCUCUCCGCCGAACUGUACCGAUUUAUGAUUGCGAAAUUUCGUUGACGAGUUUAAUGGAAUAGAUAGAAAAUCAUACAAAUCUAUAAGUUUAGAUACUUAGAAUAUGACAGAGUCGCCAUGGAAAUAUAAAUAAGCUUUUAAAAUUGAAAUUUAUAGAAAAUAUCGAGUAUUCGUGAUAAAAUAGCAAGGUAGUACGAUUGUUCGAUCUCGUCUGUUGUAAAAGACAUUCAUAGGUCAAAUCCGGCUGGACUUUUUCUUUUAAACCAUCAGCCUCCUUUCUCUUUGACGCUUCAGUAGCAAAAGAUUUAUUUGAUUUACUGUAGCAUCCUCGUCGGAGCAACGAUCACGGACCUUCGAUAGCUCAGUUGGUAGAGCGGUGGACUGUAGUUGUUUGUGCUCUUUCAGAAAAGAUAUCCAUAGGUCGCUGGUUCGAAUCCGGCUCGAAGGAAUAUUUUUAUCAAAAUUCAUCGAUAAUACUCUGCUUCUUCUUUAAUCACACGCUUGAAUGAAAAUUCUAUUACAAUUGGGGCUGAAGGGGUGCUGUACAUACCCCUUCGAUAGCUCAGUUGGUAGAGCGGUGGACUGUAGUUGUAAAUGAAAGGGAGAAUGGACAUCCAUAGGUCGCUGGUUCAAAUCCGGCUCGAAGGAAUAUUUUUAUCAAUAAUACCGUGAAUUGUCUUGAAAUUACACUUGCAAAUUAGGUACUUUAUUGGGUGGUAUCAUUUUUGUCAUUGAACAUAGAUGUUGAAUGAUUUUUGGGGGAAUAUAACAUAUUUUAUAUUUUUUUCAAUGCCAAGAGUUUUAUGCGAUCUUCCAUAGCAUUAGUUUAUUAUUAAUAGUGCAUUUUAAUGGAUAAAUUAAUAAAAUUGUUUGAAAUAUAGUAUAUGGAACAUA